rnacentral:rRNA from 2 species
GCGGAGGAAAAGAAACUAACAAGGAUUCCCCUAGUAACGGCGAGUGAAGCGGGAAGAGCUCAAAUUUGUAAUCUGGCCCUUUCAGGGUCCGAGUUGUAAUCUCGAGAAGUGUUUUCCGCGCCGGACCGCAUACAAGUCUGUUGGAAUACAGCGUCAUAGUGGUGAGAGCCCCGUAAUUGAUGUGGAUGCCCGGUGCUUUGUGAUACACUUUCGAAGAGUCGAGUUGUUUGGGAAUGCAGCUCAAAUUGGGUGGUAAAUUCCAUCUAAAGCUAAAUAUUGGCGAGAGACCGAUAGCGAACAAGUACCGUGAGGGAAAGAUGAAAAGCACUUUGGAAAGAGAGUUAACAGUACGUGAAAUUGUUGGAAGGGAAACGCUUGAAGUCAGACUUGCUAUUCGGAAUUCAGCCGCAAGGUGUACUUUUCGAUUUGCAGGCCAGCAUCAGUUUUUGGGGGUGGAAAAGGGUGGAGAGAAGGUAGCAACCUUGGUUGUGUUAUAGCUCUUUACUGGAUUCAUCUUUGGGGACUGAGGAUCGCAGUGCGCAAUUUACUUUGCAAACCUUUCGAGGUUUUCGUACUUAGGAUGCUGGUGGAA